rnacentral:rRNA from 1 species
GCUGUGGAACUCCUACGGGAGGCAGCAGUGGGGAAUUUUGGACAAUGGGCGCAAGCCUGAUCCAGCAAUGCCGCGUGAGUGAAGAAGGCCUUCGGGUUGUAAAGCUCUUUUGUCAGGGAAGAAACGGUAAGCUCUAAUACAGUUCGCUAAUGACGGUACCUGAAGAAUAAGCACCGGCUAACUACGUGCCAGCAGCCGCGGUAAUACGUAGGGUGCAAGCGUUAAUCGGAAUUACUGGGCGCAAAGCGUGCGCAGGCGGUUUUGUAAGUUUGUCGUGAAAUCCCCGGGCUCAACCUGGGAAUGGCGAUGAAGACUGCAAGGCUAGAGUUUGGCAGAGGGGGGUAGAAUUCCACGUGUAGCAGUGAAAUGCGUAGAUAUGUGGAGGAACACCGAUGGCGAAGGCAGCCCCCUGGGUCAAAACUGACGCUCAUGCACGAAAGCGUGGGGAGCAAACAGGAUUAGAAACCCUUGUAGUCCUACCACGU